rnacentral:tRNA from 1 species
GAGGGUAUAGCUCAGUGGUAGAGCAUGUGCUUAGCAUGCUCAAGGUGCUGGGUUCAAUCCCCAGUACCGCCA